CAACCCAAUUCAUUCUUUUAAAAUAACUAUUUAACACAAUUAUAGUAUAACAUAGUUUAAUAAUACCAAAUAGCUGAAAUCCAACCCAACAUAGCUCUAACCGGGGUGUGACAAGUCAUGAGCAACUAAGGAAUCCUAACACAAGUCUACUGAAUAUGAAAUACGAUACAAUAAUUCGAAUAACAUAGAAAUAAUAAGAUAAAGGAUGGGGGUUGCGAACGCCAACAGCUACCUUGUAGUCUCCGAAAACACCACCUGGACUGGAAGGAUCAACUCUCAGGUAUGGAAAUCUUCUAUGCUUGAAUCUGCACACACGGUGCAGAGAGUAAUGUGAGUACUCCGACCCAGUGAGUAAUAAAUAUAAAUAAUGACUGAAAGUAAGAAAACACGUAAAGGCACAAAACAUUCUAUAUCGAAGCAGUAAAAUCAUUUUAAAACCAGUAAUUAGGUAAUUUGGCAGUAAAUGACAAAUAGAAAUCUGUCACUCGAACUCAAUAUCAAAAUAACGGGUGCAGUAUCAGCCCCUCGGGCUCACUUUCAGAAUAGUAUCAGCCACGCGGGCUUAGUAUCAGUCACUCGGUACAACAUUAGCCCCUCAGGCUCACUCAAAGCCUUCUCACAUAAUACUCGAGGCCUGAAAGCCUCAUCAUAUCACUCAAUAUAUCCUCAUAUAUGACCCUCGGUCAUAAUCAAUCCAAAAAAUAAUCAUAAGCCCCUUGGACAUCAGUAAAACAAUGGUGCUUAUCAUUUUUAAUGUUUACCUUAUAAAUCACGUAAUCUUAUCAAGUUGAUGUGAGUUAAUGUAAAAAUCAAGUACGAGUACAUUUACACCAAAAUCAGAGCGGAAGUAGAGUGUAGUUUACGGCCGAUUUAUAAGAAUAUGCAAAUGGCCCAUUGUAAUGUAAUUACAAACCCCAAAAAAAAAAGAGAAGAAGUGUGAUUCUAACUUUAGCAUUGAUGUUUUUUUCCCAUUUAAUUGUAUGGCAAGGAUUAAGAGAGAAAUAAAAGUUCUCUUGCAAGGAACAAGAUUGGUUGAAAAUAAAUAUUUGCUCAAAUCGGUAAAUGGAAGGCUAUCCCGCGGUCUCUAUCUGCUAAUUAAUUAUGUAAGUAUAUCUAAUGCGGUCUGAUAAGAGGGGUUGCUCUAAUGGUAAGCAACCCCUAUUUCUAAUUGAGAAAUUGUGAGUUUGAGUCUCCCCAAGAGCAAGGUGAGGAGUUAAUUUAGAAAGAGCUCGAAAUUGAAUUUUGAUUUUGCAAAAUAUUUUACGCGAAAAAAAUAUGGCAUGGUGACACUAUUGACACCACCAUUGCCGUCUGGACGAAGUGAACGGACAUUCUCCAACUCAGCUGAGAUCUUCAGAAGAAACUUCAUUCUGAAAAAUGGUUGUGAGGACUAAGGAUGAGAGAAUAUAUAUGAGAGAG
rnacentral:lncRNA from 1 species